rnacentral:rRNA from 1 species
UACGGAGGGGGCAAGCGUUAUUCGGAAUUAUUGGGCGUAAAGGGCGUGUAGGCGGCCAGGUAGGUCUGGUGUGAAAACUCGAGGCUUAACCUCGAGAUGUCAUCGGAAACCAUCUGGCUAGAGUCCGGAAGAGGAGAGUGGAAUUCCUGGUGUAGCGGUGAAAUGCGCAGAUAUCAGGAAGAACACCAAUGGCGAAAGCAGCUCUCUGGGACGGUACUGACGCUGAGACGCGAAAGCGUGGGGAGCGAACAGG